CAGGGUUUGACAUGCAUGAGAAGACUCGUGAGAGCGAGGUCCCGCAAGGGUUCAUGCACAGGUGCUGCAUGGCUGUCGUCAGCUCGUGCCGUGAGGUAUUGGGUCAAGUCCCGCAACGAGCGCAACCCCUGUGGUCGGUUAUGGGUGUCCGACCAGACUGCCACGGUCAACGUGGAGGAGGGUGGGGAUGACGUCAAGUCAGCACGGCCCUUACGUCCUGGGCGACACACACGCUACAAUGGCUGGAGCAACGGGUUGCCAACCCGCGAGGGGGAGCCAAUCCUCUCAAAGCCAGUCUCAGUUCGGAUGGCAGGCUGCAACUCGCCUGCCUGAAGGUGGAGUUGCUAGUAACCGUGGGUCAGCACACCACUGUGAAUGCGUUCCC
rnacentral:rRNA from 1 species